GUGAAAUUGUUGAAAGGGAAACGAUUGAAGUCAGUCGUGCAGUCACUGACUCAACGGCUAUGUAGGAUCUAACACGGGAUGGCGAGCCUCAAAACCGCCAUCUUGUGUUAGAUCCUACAUAGCCGUGUAAUUUGGUGUCUGCUGGUCAGCGUCAAUUUCGAUUGUCAUAAAAAGGUCAGAGGGAUGUGGCUCUUUCGGGAGUGUUAUAACCUUUGGCGGAAUGUGGCGAUCGGGAUUGAGGUUUGCACGAUUAUAGUUUCCUGGCCUCUCGUCGACGUCUGAAUUGUGGAAGCUUGCUGAAGCAGUUUAGACCGUUAGUGAAAAGGUUGGAGCGACUAGAUCGUUAAGGAUGCUGACGUAAUGGCUUUAAACGAC
rnacentral:rRNA from 1 species